rnacentral:rRNA from 1 species
CCUACGGGUGGCAGCAGUGAGGAAUAUUGGUCAAUGGACGCAAGUCUGAACCAGCCAUGCCGCGUGCAGGAAGACGGCUCUAUGAGUUGUAAACUGCUUUUGUACGAGGGCAAACGCAGAUACGUGUACCUGUCUGAAAGUAUCGUACGAAUAAGGAUCGGCUAACUCCGUGCCAGCAGCCGCGGUAAUACGGAGGAUUCAAGCGUUAUCCGGAUUUAUUGGGUUUUAAGGGUGCGUAGGCGGUCGGGUAAGUUAGGGGUGAAAUCCCGGGGCUCAACUUCGGAAUUGCCUUUGAUACUGUUCGGCUAGAGAGUAGGUGAGGUAGGCGGAAUGUGUGGUGUAGCGGUGAAAUGCUUAGAGAUCAGGCAGAACACCGAUUGCGAAGGCAGCUUACCGGGCUAAUUCUGACGUUGAGGCACGAAAGCGUGGGGAGCAAACAGGAUUAGAUACCCGGGUAGUC